CCUUCGAUAGCUCAGCUGGUAGAGCGGAGGACUGUAGUUGGUAUCCGUUAACAAUCCUUAGGUUGCUGGUUCAAUUUCGGCUCGAGGGA